rnacentral:lncRNA from 1 species
GGCUUUUAGCCCCAGAGGAGCCUAGAAGAGGGGGGGGGCAGUCAAAGCAAAAGUCUCCGAGAUGGCUCAUCCCCGGGGACAAAUAAAUUAAUGCUGUAGAUGCUUAAAUAAAAUUUUAAAUAUUUUCUUUCAUCUAUUUACAGUACUUUCUUCUUUAGAUUUAUGGCUAGAGCUAUUUUUUGGCAUCACAAUUAGACAAGACAGCAUGAGGGAUUUUUUUUCCCUGUUUGCUGUUUUGAGCUCCCCAUUUUCAGGUUGGCAAAGUGUCCAGGACCGGGAUUGAUCUGAUGUACCCCAAUGAUCCAGCCACAGGAGAGACCCAGGGAAGAGCUCUGCCUUUGUCUUAAAGUGUGAAGAGGCCAUCUUUCUAGCUCCCAGCCAAAGGGCUUGAUUGGUUUGGGGGUAGAGAGGAGAGAGAUUUGUCCGUGGAAGAUCUAGGGCUUGGCUCAUAGGGCCCUGGGGCAUCUCCCCUCUAGAUGCUAGGGCCUGGCCAGAUUUGCCUGCUUCGCAACAGGCCUUCCAAACAACAAAAUCCCAAGCAAAUUUAGGGUUGGGAACAACUGGGAUUUGUGUUUUGGUUUUGUUUUUCAUUAGAAGGUAGAGAGGUGCUCCACUCAAGGAGGUUCUGGGUCACUUGUUGUUGCUGUGCGACCUCAAACUCCAAGGCAGCAACACCCUGGGCUGCAGAGACACUGCUCUGACAGCGUCUCUCUGCUGUGAAGGCCAGCUCUACCAGCCUAGUACCACCAAGAGGGAAACAGCCUGGCAACUCUCAGGGCCUGGCUUAGAAUUAGGAGAAUGGAACAGAAGUGGCCUGGACAUCGGUCCCAGCGGUGGCUUUGAAGGCUCCACAAGGAUGAAUCAGACACUGCAGCUGUGUCAGAAGCAGGAACACUGAUGGGGAUGCCCAGAAGUCUGAGGUUCCUGGGCACGGCAGUAAGUUACAGAAGAACUUUAUCAGGAGCCUUAGAAACCGAGUUGUGUGUUCA